AGUGAACGCUGGCGGUAGGCCUAACACAUGCAAGUCGAACGGCAGCACAGAUGAGCUUGCUUCUUGGGUGGCGAGUGGCGGACGGGUGAGGAAUACAUCGGAAUCUACUCUGUCGUGGGGGAUAACGUAGGGAAACUUACGCUAAUACCGCAUACGACCUACGGGUGAAAGCAGGGCAUCUUCGGACCUUGCCCGAUUGAAUGAGCCGAUUUCGGAUUAGCUAGUUGGCGGGGUAAAGGCCCACCAGGGCGACGAUCCGUAGCUGGUCUGAGAGGAUGAUCAGCCACACUGGAACUGAGACACGGUCCAGACUCCUACGGGAGGCAGCAGUGGGGAAUAUUGGACAAUGGGCGCAAGCCUGAUCCAGCCAUACCGCGUGGGUGAAGAAGGCCUUCGGGUUGUAAAGCCCUUUUGUUGGGAAAGAAAUCCAUCUGGUUAAUACCCGGGUGGGAUGACGGUACCCAAAGAAUAAGCACCGGCUAACUUCGUGCCAGCCGCCGCCGUAA
rnacentral:rRNA from 1 species